rnacentral:rRNA from 1 species
GACGAACGCUGGCGGCGUGCUUAACACAUGCAAGUCGAACGGUAAGGCCCUUCGGGGUACACGAGUGGCGAACGGGUGAGUAACACGUGGGUGAUCUGCCCUGCACUUCGGGAUAAGCCUGGGAAACUGGGUCUAAUACCGGAUAGGACCACUGCCUGCAUGGGUGGUGGUGGAAAGCUUUUGCGGUGUGGGAUGGGCCCGCGGCCUAUCAGCUUGUUGGUGGGGUGUUGGCCUACCAAGGCGACGACGGGUAGCCGGCCUGAGAGGGUGACCGGCCAACCGGGGACUGGGAUCCGGCCCAGACUGCUACGGGGGGCAGCAGUGGGGAAUAUUGCACAGUGGGCGCAAGCCUGAUGCAGCGACGCCGCGUGAGGGAUGACGGCCUUCGGGUUGUAAACCUCUUGCAGCACCGACGAGGCGCAAGUGACGGUAGGUGCAGAAGAAGGACCGGCCAACUACGUGCCAGCAGCCUCAGUAA